AUUGAACGCUGGCGGCAGGCCUAAUACAUGCAAGUCGAACGCAGUGGGGACGGGUGAGUAACACGUGGGUAACCUCCCAUCAGAGGGGAUAACACUCGGAAACAGGUGCUAAACCGAUACUGAUGGAUGGACCCGCGGUCCAUUAGCUAGUUGGUGAGGUAAAGGCUCACCAAGGACACGAUGCAUAGCCGACCUGAGAGGGUGAUCGGCCACACUGGGACUGAGACACGGCCCAGACUCCUACGAGAGGAAGCAGUAGGGAAACUUAGGCAAUGGGCGAAAGGCUGACAGAGCAGCGCCGCGUGAGUGAAGAAGGUUUACGGAUCGUAAAACUCUGUUGUUAGAAAAGCGGUAUCUAACCAAAAAGCCACGGCUAACUACGUGCCAGCAGCCGCGGUAAUAC
rnacentral:rRNA from 1 species